rnacentral:lncRNA from 1 species
UGCAGGAGACAUGACCCAAAAAGGGAUUAUGGCAUAUCUCUAAGCCCAACACCCAAAUGUUGUGACUCUCCUGCCUGGGCUGUGCCUAGAGAAAAUAUAAUAUGUCACUGGGCCCUGCAUGCAAGUGAUCUGAUUCUCCAGCCUGGGCCUUGCCCACAGGGGAGAUUGAGACAUAUUCCAGUCAUGCAAAUGGAGGUGGAUUGUGACAUAUCAUACGGCCAACACAACACACAGUCUACAGGUGGAAUUGGGACUCUCAUGCAUGGAUCCAGUUCAUCAUUGAUACUGUGACUCAUGUACUUGGAUGCAACUCACAGGAGUCACGCAAAUGGAGGAGGAUUGUGACAUAUCAUAGGGCCAACACAAAAAUAAUGUAAAACUCCUGCCUGAGCCAUGCCCAUAGAAGGCAUUGUGACGUAUCACCAGUCACAUCACUCAGUGGGAUUUUGACAUAUAACUGCACCCAGCACACAGGUGAGAUUGUGACUCUUGUAUGCUCAUCCUGCCAAAAGUUGAGUGUCACCCUCACACAUGGACAGAGACUUCUGGUUAGGUCUUGAAUCUUGUACAUGGACACAGUCCGCAGUUGGAAUGUCAUAUGUAGAUCCAGCCACAGGUGUGAUGUUGACCUAUUUAUAAAGUUAGCUCACAGGCACAUUGAUAACUCUCAUACCUGGAUCCAGCCAAUAAAAGAUAUGUUGACUAUUAUAGCUAGGCUUGAGGAAACUGGUAGGGUCCUGGGUCUCCUACCUGUAUGAGAGUCACGGAAGAUUAUGACACUUAUGGAAAUUACAUGAAGCCCUCUGGCAAUGCAAAGUUUUAUCACAGGCCCAGCACACAGGUGAGAUUGUGACUUUAAUAUGCAGACAAAGCUAACAGUUAGUAUUGUUACCUUCACAUAUAAACAGAGUCCACUGGUGAGGUUCUAAAUCUCACACACCAAAAAAAUUCACAGUUGGAAUUGUGACUGAUAUGUGAAUCUGCCCACUGAUGGAAUGCUGACUCAUUUCUGGAUUCAGCUUAGAAAAAUGGUGAUGACUGUUUCACCUGGACUCAGCCAAAUGGAGAGAUGUUGACUCUCUUAACUAGGUGUGAUGGUUAAUACUGAGUGUCAACUAGGCUGGAUUGAAGGAUACAAAGUAUUAAAUCUGGGUGUCUCUGUGAGGGUGUUGCCAAAGGAGAUUAACAACUGAGUCAGUUGGCUGGAAAAGGCAGACACACCCUUAAUCUGGAUGGGCGCAAUCUAAUCAGAUGCCAGAGU